rnacentral:rRNA from 1 species
AUUGAACGCUGGCGGCAGGCUUAACACAUGCAAGUCGAACGGACUACUUCGGUAGUUAGUGGCGAACGGGUGAGUAAUGCCUAGGAAUCUGCCCAUUAGCGGGGGAUAACGUGUGGAAACGCACGCUAAUACCGCAUACGCCCGUACGGGGGAAAGCAGGGGAUCUUCGGACCUUGCACUAAUGGCUGUGCGGCUGAUUAGGUAGUUGGCGGGUAACGCCACCAAGCCUGCGAUCAGUAACUGGUGUGAGAGCACGACCAGUCACACGGGCACUGAGACACGGGCCCGACUCCUACGGGAGGCAGCAGUAAGGAAUAUUGCACAAUGGACGAAAGUCUGAUGCAGCAACGCCGCGUGGAGGAUGACACAUUUCGGUGCGUAAACUCCUUUUAUAUGGGAAGAUAAUGACGGUACCAUAUGAAUAAGCACCGGCUAACUCCGUG